rnacentral:rRNA from 1 species
UUUCAGCAACGGAUCUCUUGGCUCUCGCAUCGAUGAAGAACGCAGCGAAAUGCGAUAAGUAAUGUGAAUUGCAGAAUUCAGUGAAUCAUCGAAUCUUUGAACGCACCUUGCGCUCCUUGGUAUUCCGAGGAGCAUGCCUGUUUGAGUG